rnacentral:rRNA from 1 species
AUGCAGUUCAACGGGCCGACCUUCAGCCGUCCGCCUGUGGUGCCGGAGCUGCGCUACCCACCGGGCGUGCUCGUGGAGAGGGAGCUCCGUGUGUGGGCUAUUUCAAGGUGGAGGGGUUCCGUCGAACUCACCCGCGCUUUCCUCAGAGCCGGCUAUGCCCACCUCCCACGGGGCUCGCCGAGGAUGUUCACCCUCAACGAGGUUCGUGACCGCGGCGGCAUCCUCCUACUGCUCACGGUCACCUUCACUAACCCAUUUGACGCGCGCGAGCUCCUCGGCCAAGUCUUUUGGUGCGGCUGCGAGGCCAUCUUCUUCACCAUCUACAACAUCUACACCAACUACGAGCGCAUCUUCCCCGCUCCAGGCCAGAUGCACUCCCUUCCCUACGACGAGGAGGAGGAGGUGUGA